rnacentral:rRNA from 1 species
CGAAGGUCCCAAGCGUUAUCCGGGUUUAUUGGGUUUAAAGGGUGCGUAGGCGGGCUAUUAAGUCAGUGGUGAAAGCCCCAAGCUUAACUUGGGAACUGCCAUUGAUACUGAUGGUCUUGAGUACAUUUGAGGUGGGCGGAAUGUGUCAUGUAGCGGUGAAAUGCUUAGAUAUGACACAGAACACCGAUUGCGAAGGCAGCUCACUAAACUGUAACUGACGCUGAGGCACGAAAGCGUGGGGAGCAAACAGGAUUAGAUACCCUGGUAGUCCAUGCCCUAAACGAUGAUCACUCGAUGUGUGCGAUAUACUGUACGCGUCUGAGCGAAAGCAUUAAGUGAUCCACCUGGGGAGUACGACCGCAAGGUUG